CCUGACUGCUAUCGGAUUGAUACUAAGCCAUGUGAGUCAUUGUAGUAAUACAAGGCAGACGGCUCAGUAACACGUAGCCAACCUACCCUAUGGACGGGGAUAACCUCGGGAAACUGAGGAUAAACCCCGAUAGAUCAUAAUGCCUGGAACGGUUUAUGGUCCAAAUGAUUCGUCGCCGUAGGAUGGGACUGCGGCCUAUCAGCUUGUUGGUGAGGUAAUGGCCCACCAAGGCUAUUACAGGUACGGGCUCUGAGAGGAGAAGCCCGGAGAUGGGUACUGAGACACGGACCCAGGCCCUAUGGGGCGCAGCAGGCGAGAAACCUUUGCAAUGUGCGCAAGCACGACAAGGUUAAUCCGAGUGUUUCCUGCUAAAGGAAUCUUUUGUUAGUCCUAAAAACACUAGCGAAUAAGGGGUGGGCAAGUCCUGGUGUCAGCCGCCGCGGUAAAACCAGCACCUCAAGUGGUCAGGAGGAUUAUUGGGCCUAAAGCAUCCGUAGCCUGCUUUGUAAGUUUCCGGUUAAAUCCAUUAGCUCAACCGAUGGGCCGCCGGAAAAACUGCAAAGCUAGGGAGUGGGAGAGGUAGACGGUACUCGGUAGGAAGGGGUAAAAUCCUUUGAUCUAUUGAUGACCACCUGUGGCGAAGGCGGUCUACCAAAACACGUUCGACGGUGAGGGAUGAAAGCUGGGGGAGCAAACCGGAUUAGAUACCCGGGUAGUCCCAGCUGUAAACGAUGCAGACUCGGUGAUGCCCUGGCUUGUGGCCAGUGCAGUGCCGCAGGGAAGCCGUUAAGUUUGCCGCCUGGGAAGUACGUACGCAAGUAUGAAACUUAAAGGAAUUGGCGGGGGAGCACCACAAGGGGUGAAGCCUGCGGUUC
rnacentral:rRNA from 1 species